UAGGAGGCUUCUGUAUAUUUGAGCUGGUCAGUCUGUGUUGAUAAUCCUGUCAAACGCGGCUUUUAAAAAUGUUUUAUAGUGUAGUGAAGCUGUAUAAGUGUUGCUCUCCACAUUCUGGAGGAUGGAGUUUAGAAAUCAGUGGAAUUAGAGUAUGAUAGCUAAAGAAAUUGAGAAAACACCUGUUUCCGGAUUACAUAUUCAAACUAAGGGCAACCAUGGCAUGGCAUCCUUGACAUGGAGACGUGUCUAUCAUGCAUGAUGAUGUAUAGGGAGGUAAACAAAUCAUCAGCAUCAAGUGUGUGCUCUGAACUCACCGAGAGCGAAACGAGCUGGGAUGGUGAAUGGGUGUAGACAAAGAAGAGCUCUUCACUAGAUACCAUGGCCAUUUUCUCAAAAGAUGGAGAAGGAGGGGUGGAGGACACUAACUAUGACCAUGGCUAUGAGCCAGACUAGGCGGUCAGCACAGUGAAGAGAGACCGAGUCGGAGAGCAUCCCCUGUCAAAGAGACAAGUAGGUAGACUUCUGUGCUUAUAGUUCCCAUGCUAGGCUGUACAGUGUUGAUGUCUCCCCCUGUUCAGUGGUCGUUAUCCCUGCCUCUGUCGGAGCUGCACUCUCUGCAACGGUCCUGUUUCUCCCUGGGCCCUAACUUCCUGGUUCUGACCAGCAGGCCACCCCCUCCCUCCUCUGCACUUUCACAGCGGGGGCACCAGGGAGCUGCUGAGGGCCCUGCAGCGUCGCAUCAUCCUGGCCCUGUGAGUAGCAGCAGACAGCUGCUACUUCAAGGCAUUUCACUGGCAUUUAACUGGACUCUGAACAGUAGAGAGUUUAGCAGCUGGUCUACACUGUACACAACUCUCUUAUCAUCAUGUUUGGAAGUGUCUUUCCCAUAUUUCCCCCUAAUUUCUAUUUUUCUAGCUCUUUCUUUCUUCUUUUACGGUCUGUCUAUUACUCUCUGCCUCACUCUCUCACCCAUUACUUAUGUAUUUUUAUCUUGUUUUCAGGUCACCAUUAGAUGGGUGUCACUUCCUAGCUCUUUGAUGAUGGAAAUUCCUACCUUGUCUCUAGGUUUAUCCAGGACCCUUAUGCCACCACCUUUUGGGGGAUUCUCCAAGGUCACCAACUUCUUCAAAGGGGCCCGACGACCACCAGAUUCCGCCCUCAGCUGACGACAAAACAGGUUUUGAGCUCAUCGCCUGUAGAAACGUGAGUCGGACGGACAGACACAAUGCCUUCUUCUCUGUCAACGACAACCCAGGCCUGACUCUUCUCAAUGUGGUACCGGUGCAUCAAGUCUGACACCAAUAGGCUCCUGAACAGCUUCUAUCCCAAGCCAAACACUGCUAAAUAGC